rnacentral:sRNA from 1 species
AUGGUUGACCCCAGCCCUGCCCACAGGAACAAAGCUUCACCUUUGACAGUCCUGGGCCCUGAUGUUGCUCAGGAGGCAGAGCAGGAGCUGCUGGCACGUGUCCAAUCCACACUGGGCUCUCUGGGCCGAGGGUACAGUGUGGCCCUGUUGCUCUGGGGGAGGGAAACAGAGGCACCCCGACUUGUGCCUCAGCUGCUGCAGAUGCUGUCUGAGGAAGCUCUGCCCCUCAGCUGCUCUGAUCCUGUGCUUAGCACUCUUAGCCUGGUGCAGUUCAGCCCCAGUGGAAGGACCCAGGACCUGCUCUCUCCAGGGGUGGAGAACCUGUCGGUGCUGGACGUGUCCCCUCUGGGCUUGGUGGUAGAAGAUGCCACUGAAGUGGAGGUGUCUGACUCAAAAGCUGCCUCAGAGCUGUACUUGCGGGCCACUGCAGGUGAAGGCAGGUGAAGGCAGGAGAGUAUCUGUCACCCCAUCCCCGCUAGGCAUUUGGCCUGAGUCUACCCUUUCCUCCACAGGGCCUGCUGUCUGCUCACUCUCACCAUGUCCUGCCCAGGGCCUGACCCUCCUGAGGGGCCCGGGACCCAGCGUGUGUGGCAAGGGGCUCUACGGAUCCUACAGCUCCCAGGAGCCCCAGACUGCCCCCUGCUGCGGGUGUUGGCUGGUGAAGUUGUUGGUGAGGAGGCGGAGGGCUCUUUGCCCUGGAUUGUCUCAUGGCUCUUGGAAGGAAACAACUACAGUGGCCUACUUCUUCGCCUGGACCCCCAAGGUAGCUCCCUCAGUUUGCUCCAGGCUGCUCUGUUGGGGGCCUCAGGAAGGAGGAUGCAGGUGAAACAGGUGAGGCCCACCCUGUGGGAUGCAGUAGAAGAGGCUCGGGCCCGCCGGGCUGGCCUGAGGCCCCUGCAUUUAGGCCUCCUUGAGGACACCCUGACGGACAGUGGGCUAAGCCAGCUGGGAAGGGCACUGCGGGAGCUAGAGGUGAGCAAGGUGAAGCCUGAGGGCACCUGGGCUAGCCAUGGCCAGUACCCACCUUGAACCCUUUCUCCAUAGGUGGUAAAAGCGUGGAGCCAGCACCCAAGAAGCCAGAUGCUCCAAGGAGCAGUCAUAGGUGAGCCACAGAAGUAUUUUAAGCAGGAAAGAGCACUGUGCCCUUUUCAGCAGGUGAUAGAGUCACCAGUAAACCAGAGCCCAUGCCUUGAGGGAGAGCCCCAAGGUGGGUCUGGGACUUGGGGAUGAGCUGGGAGUGGGAGGUCUUCCCUGCCUUUGGUGUGAUUAAUUACAUUUUCCUCUAGUGGCAGGAAGAAUGGCAACUCUAAGGUGUGGCUCCACCAAAAGAAUCCUCUCGGGCACCCUAAGGAACAGCAGAUACCAGAUGUGGCCCGGCUGCUCUUCUUGGCCCAGGCCCAGAGGCAGAGACUGAGGGAGCAGCAGCAAAUUUGGAUUCGAGAGAAGCUGAAGCAUUUGGAACAGAAGGAGGAGGUGGCAGAUGACCAGGUCAAAGGCCUGGUGGCUGAAGAGGAGGCCUGCAAGGAGAGGCAGAGAUGGCAGCAGGAACAGAUGGUGCUGAGAUUCCAGCUGGAGGCCCUUCAGGAAGAGCGGAACACAGCAGAGCAGGACCUGGUAGCCCUCUAUGACCUGCAUGUGCAGGCCACCCGAGCUCAGACACACCAUGUGCUGCGCGUCAGUGGGGAUGAAGGGUAGGCCUUGAGCUGGCUCCAAGGCUGGCUGAGUGACAGGCAUCUCUGAAUCUGGGCACAGGUAUUCUGAGCCUGGCAGGGCCAAUGGGAGGAGCGGGCCAUGACCACAGAGCAUCAUCACUGCAGCCUGCUGGCGGGCAUCCUGGAAGAAACCAUCAACCUGGCCACACAGAAUCAGGAGCUCCAAGCUGAGAACCAGCAGCUUCAGCAGGGUGCAGACUAGGCUGGGGGUAGUCAUGCUGGACCUGUCCUGGGGAGAAACCUUAACAGGAACCCUUUAGAGGAAGUUUCUUGUCUCCUCAUUCUGGA